UACGUAGGGUGCAAGCGUUGUCCGGAAUUAUUGGGCGUAAAGAGCUCGUAGGCGGUUCGUCGCGUCGGCUGUGAAAACCUGAGGCUCAACCUCAGGCCUGCAGUCGAUACGGGCGGACUUGAGUACUGCAGGGGAGACUGGAAUUCCUGGUGCAGCGGUGAAAUGCGCAGAUAUCAGGAGGAACACCGGUGGCGAAGGCGGGUCUCUGGGCAGUAACUGACGCUGAGGAGCGAAAGCGUGGGGAGCGAACAGG
rnacentral:rRNA from 1 species